CAAAAGCUAAUUUAUGUAAAUAUACUUCAUAAAAUACUUAAGUACCUUCAUAUUGUCAAGUGAAGAAUCAAACUACAUAGAACCACAGAAGCCACUUUCAACCUCUAACCUAGGUUCCAUCCAGGCUCUGAGCUGACAGUACAGAGAUCAACACCGGGCUCGAACUCAGCGGUGAUAUCUCGUGAGCCCAAGUCGGAAGCUUAAGCCGACUGAGCCACCCAGACACCCCGGCUAGAAGGUGAUCAUCAGAACAAACACUUUUGGACUCAGAAAGGGAAGCUGCCUUCUGAGAAUGGCAGGACAGCUUACUUCUGACCUGCUACCUGAAAGAAAAGCAAAACUCUGUUUAGCAUCUAAUGGAUUCUUAUGAAUUUGUUACCAGCACUUUAUAAACUAAAGCCUACCGUGUCUAAAAAAUAACUUAAGGUAAACUAUUGUAAAGGGCUGAGUACUAGAGCCACAGGGCAUCACAGUCACGACGUUCCCUUUCUGUACUUGAACGUACCCUCGGCUGAACUUCUUUCAACAUCGCGCUAGCGUCUUCAUCAUAAUCCAGUUUACAGGCAAGAGCAAGAUCAUGCGCUGCUUCUUCCCAAUGGCCCAGAAGUCUGAAACGAAUUAAAUUCAUU